UAUAAACGAUAAUCCUCGAAAAAUCUUUCUUGCUCUUGUUAAGUUAGUAUACCUUCAUUAUUAGAUGAUUUCUUUUUGAUAAAAAUUAUUGUAAUUGAUUGAAAUCAAAGAUAUUAGAUCGCGGUGCUGCUAAUGAGUAAGUAUAAAUGGGUUACAAUAAUAUUGAAAUUAGACGGAUUUAUUAGUGAAAACAAUAAUAAAGGUGGAUUUAAUUGUAAUGUAGGUUUAACAAGUCUAUAUGAGAUAGG
rnacentral:rRNA from 1 species